UAAUACCGCAUACGAUCAUGGAUGAAANCGGGGGAUCGCAAGACCUCGCGCGAUUGGAGCGGCCGAUAUCAGAUUAGGUAGUUGGUGAGGUAAAGGCUCACCAAGCCGACGAUCUGUAGCUGGUCUGAGAGGACGACCAGCCACACUGGGACUGAGACAGGCCCCAGACUCCUACGGGAGGCAGCAGUGGGGAAUUUUGGACAAUGGGCGCAAGCCUGAUCCAGCAAUGCCGCGUGCAGGAUGAAGGCCUUCGGGUUGUAAACUGCUUUUGUACGGAACGAAACGGUGAGCUCUAAUACAGUUUGCUAAUGACGGUACCGUAAGAAUAAGCACCGGCUAACUACGUG
rnacentral:rRNA from 1 species